AAAUUGAAGAGUUUGAUCAUGGCUCAGAUUGAACGCUGGCGGCAGGCCUAACACAUGCAAGUCGAACGGUAACAGGAAACAGCUUGCUGUUUCGCUGACGAGUGGCGGACGGGUGAGUAAUGUCUGGGAAACUGCCUGAUGGAGGGGGAUAACUACUGGAAACGGUAGCUAAUACCGCAUAACGUCGCAAGACCAAAGAGGGGGACCUUCGGGCCUCUUGCCAUCGGAUGUGCCCAGAUGGGAUUAGCUAGUAGGUGGGGUAACGGCUCACCUAGGCGACGAUCCCUAGCUGGUCUGAGAGGAUGACCAGCCACACUGGAACUGAGACACGGUCCAGACUCCUACGGGAGGCAGCAGUGGGGAAUAUUGCACAAUGGGCGCAAGCCUGAUGCAGCCAUGCCGCGUGUAUGAAGAAGGCCUUCGGGUUGUAAAGUACUUUCAGCGGGGAGGAAGGGAGUAAAGUUAAUACCUUUACUCAUUGACGUUACCCGCAGAAGAAGCACCGGCUAACUCCGUGCCAGCAGCCGCGGUAAUACGGAGGGUGCAAGCGUUAAUCGGAAUUACUGGGCGUAAAGCGCACGCA
rnacentral:rRNA from 1 species